CUACGGGCGGCUCCAGUGGGGGAUAUUGCACAAUGGGGGAAACCCUGAUGCAGCAACGCCGCGUGAAGGAAGACGGUUUUCGGAUUGUAAACUUCUAUCAGCAGGGAAGAAAAUGACGGUACCUGACUAAGAAGCCCCGGCUAACUACGUGCCAGCAGCCGCGGUAAUACGUAGGGGGCAAGCGUUAUCCGGAAUUACUGGGUGUAAAGGGUACGUAGGCGGCUGAUCAAGUCAGAUGUGAAAGCCCGGAGCUCAACUCCGGGACUGCAUUUGAAACUGGUCGGCUCGAGUGCAGGAGAGGAAAGUGGAAUUCCUAGUGUAGCGGUGAAAUGCGUAGAUAUUAGGAAGAACACCAGUGGCGAAGGCGGCUUUCUGGACUGUAACUGACGCUGAGGUACGAAAGCGUGGGGAGCGAACAGGAUUAGAUACCCUUGUAGUC
rnacentral:rRNA from 1 species